CCCGGGCCCCGCCGGCACGGCGAGGGGGCGGGGCGGGGAGAGGAAAAGGACUUCGACCAGAUUCUUAAAGGCACAGGCGCCUGCCCGUCCCCGCCGCCGAAGUUGGGGGAUAAAACCCGACGGUGUUCUAGAGCUUUCCGAAGGAGGCAACUUUAUAGAUUGCAAAUGCCUCUUCUGCACCGGGUGUGCGGAGCCACGCUUUUCGUUGUGAAAGUGUUAGGGAAACCCUUUCAUUUUGAUCUGGGCUUGUUUCAAAGUUGGGGAUUUUCUGCAGCCACGAAACCCCAUUAGUACUUGGAAUAUGUACUUUUCAGGGUACUUCAGCUCUCCCUCUCGUGCCAUUGCUCACUAAGUUUUUUAUGUUGCUGUGUAUACAAUUUCUUCAUCUGUAACGCGGCAGGUAAAAAGUCCUAAUGGGAUCAUUUGCGGCGUGAAAGGAGACAAACUUCUAUGACAAGACUCUGUUCUCAACACGGCGGCCAGAGGGAUCUUACCACAUGAUGUGUCGUCAGGAUCCUCUCAUCGCAGAGUCGAGGCCAGAUUCCUUCUGUUGGCCUGACCUGAUCUGGCCUGGACCAUCUCUCACACAUCAUCUUCCACUCCCCUGUCCUCACCCGCUCUGCUCCAGAAUCCCUGACCCCUUUGCCAGGCCUCAAACAAGCCAAACGCAUUCAUACUGCGAGGCCUCUGCCUUUGCUGGCUGGCUCUACCCAGAAAGUUCUUCUGCUCCGAUGGCCACACAGUUCACUCCCUUGCUUUUCUAGGUCUGCUCAAAUGUUACGUGACCACGUAGGCCUCCCUGACCGCCUCUCUAAAGUAACCACAUUCCCCAUCCUGGGAAUCCCUAGCCUUACUCCACAGAACUUUUUUCUGCCUGAAAUUAUAUUUAUAUAUGUAUAUAUUUUUGGGGGUGGGGGAAAAGUGGGAGGCAGUCCUGACAUCUAGAAAUUGGACCUGCAUAUUGCAUGAUGUUCUCCUGCUGAAAAUAAAGAAUCUCACGGAGGGACA